GUCCUGGCCGUAAACGGUGGACACUAGGUGUUGGAGGCAUCGACCCCUCCAGUGCCGCAGCUAACGCAUUAAGUGUCCCGCCUGGGGAGUACGACCGCAAGGUUGAAACUCAAAGGAAUUGACGGGGGCCCGCACAAGCGGUGGAGCAUGUGGUUUAAUUCGACGCAACGCGAAGAACCUUACCCAGACUUGACAUGUACGGGACAGGUGUGGAAACACACCCUUCCUUCGGGACCCGUGCACAGGUGCUGCAUGGCUGUCGU
rnacentral:rRNA from 1 species